rnacentral:rRNA from 1 species
AUGGUUGGCGGCGGCGGGUUCCUCUGCGCGCCCUCCGUGCCCCUACGUGGAUCUCACCUCGCCAUGUCGGGUAUGCGCUGCCGCUUGACCUGUGCUACCGCCAUCUCGGCGUGCCUCCCCAGCCAUGAGCCGCUGGACGCCUUGGCUUUGGUCCUUUGUGUUGUUGCUGGCGGAGCUACGUGUCCCCGCUCUAGCCCUGGUCCUUCACCGGUGUGCACCUCCGUGCAUGUUUUGCCCAGAUCUGAUACACCGGUGUGGAGCAGAUGGUCCACUGCAAUCCUGUGCACUCGAACGCGAAUCCGGCAUCCGGCACAAAUCCGCCUUCCGACGCUAUGGUCUACUGGGCCAAUUGGAUUGGAGAGGGCUCUCGUUGGUGAGGUGGUGAGUGUUGCGUCAUUGGUGUUGAUUACACCGGUCUGCAGCGGCGGCUUCGCCACAGAUUGCAAUGACCACCGAAAGAUCUUCACGAGGAUUUUUUUUUCUCUCCCUAGAACCGGUGGUUACAUUCUGUCGCUGUUGCUAAAAGUGUUCCUCUGA